rnacentral:tRNA from 1 species
UGAAAGGCGGCUGUAGAGGUGGUAGGUUGUAGCCUUAUUGAUGGAAAUUUAGGAUUUUCCCUUUCGG